rnacentral:rRNA from 1 species
AACGAACGCUGGCGGCAGGCUUAACACAUGCAAGUCGAACGCAUCCUUCGGGAUGAGUGGCAGACGGGUGAGUAACGCGUGGGAAUCUACCCAUCCCUACGGGAUAGCUCCGGGAAACUGGAAUUAAUACCGUAUACGUCCUUCGGGAGAAAGAUUUAUCGGGGAUGGAUGAGCCCGCGUUGGAUUAGCUAGUUGGUGGGGUAAAGGCCUACCAAGGCGACGAUCCAUAGCUGGUCUAAGAGGAUGGUCAGCCACAUUGGGACUGAGACACGGCCCAAACUCCUACGGGAGGCAGCAGGGGGGAAUAUUGGACAAUGGGCGCAAGCCUGAUCCAGCCAUGCCGCGUGAGUGAUAAAGGCCCUAGGGUUGUAAAGCUCUUUCAGUGGGGACGAUAAUGACGGUACCCACAGAAGAAGCCCCGGCUAACUUCGUGCCAGCCGCCGCCGUAA